rnacentral:rRNA from 1 species
AGUGAACGCUGGCGGUAGGCCUAACACAUGCAAGUCGAACGGCAGCACAGGAGAGCUUGCUCUCUGGGUGGCGAGUGGCGGACGGGUGAGGAAUACAUCGGAAUCUACCUUUUCGUGGGGGAUAACGUAGGGAAACUUACGCUAAUACCGCAUACGACCUACGGGUGAAAGUGGGGGACCGCAAGGCCUCACGCGAUUAGAUGAGCCGAUGUCCGAUUAGCUAGUUGGCGGGGUAAUGGCCCACCAAGGCGACGAUCGGUAGCUGGUCUGAGAGGAUGAUCAGCCACACUGGAACUGAGACACGGUCCAGACUCCUACGGGAGGCAGCAGUGGGGAAUAUUGGACAAUGGGCGCAAGCCUGAUCCAGCCAUACCGGGUGGGUGUAGAAGGCCUUCGGGUUGUAAAGCCCUUUUGUUGGGAAAGAAAUCCUGUCGAUUAAUACUCGGUGGGGAUGACGGUACCCAAAGAAUAAGCACCGGCUAACUUCGUGCCAGCAGCCGCCGUAAAAC